AGCCUCCUGAGCCACUGGGAUUACAGGCCUGCGCCAUGACAAUGAACAGGUGGCAGAAUUUCAGAACUGAGAAACACAAAUUAUUCAAAUGAAUCAUUGAAAAUGAUGGAGUGGUUCCUUCUGAAGACCAGUCGUGUGCUUGUGAAGAUUCAUGAACAAGCUUCAUCACUGACCACAUCAAUUGGAGAAUUGAAGGUCCCUGCCCAUUUUGUUUAUAGCUUAAAUAUACACUUCACCCCCAUUAUUGAAGGAUACUAUCAUACUAUCGCUUUUUUUUUUGAGGGGGAAAUACUAUUAUUUUUUUAACUCAAAGUGUUUUCAGAUUCAUCUUCACAGUCAAUAAGGAAAGUUAGUAUUAAGCCCCAUUAUACUUUUCCUUGUUUUUUUCCUUCUAGUUCUCAGAUGUGGGAAAGAAUUUUAAGUUAUAAUUAAUCAUUUAUUACUAUUCCUACCAAAGACUGUAUUUUAUUUUUAAAUAUCUGAGGCAAUUGGUAAUUUGUAAUAUCUGAAUUGUAGACAAAGUCAUAAAGCCAUAAAUAAGGCCACAAAAAGGAACAACUGUGGAACAUGAACGGGCAUAUUCAAUAAUGGUGAAUGAGUUGUCAUGGUUAGUGUGACUGCACAGUGACCAUUUUUGGAAUAAAUAGGAUGUACAGUUUAUAGAAAAAUCUAGUUAUAUUCAAUAUGAGAUUCAACAUCCACACUUCAAGCAAGUAGAAUCAUUCAAAACUAUGUUACAUAUUACUAUUUUUAUUAUAAUAUAGCCAAAUGUACAGUAGAAAACAAAUGAGGAAUUAUACCCUGUGUCAGAAUUAUAAGUAUUUAAGAAGCUAAAAUAAAUGAUGGUAUAUUUAA